GAUGAACGCUGGCGGCGUGCUUAACACAUGCAAGUCGAGCGAGAAAUAGAGAAAAGAAACUUCGGUGGAAAUUUUCUAUGGAAAGCGGCGGACGGGUGAGUAACGCGUAGGCAACCUGCCCCAUACAGAGGGAUAGCAUCUGGAAACGGAUAUUAAUACCUCAUAAUACCUUUGUCAUGCAUAUGGCAAAGGUCAAAGAUUUAUCGGUAUGGGAUGGGCCUGCGUCUGAUUAGCUAGUUGGUAAGGUAACGGCUUACCAAGGCAACGAUCAGUAGCCGACCUGAGAGGGUGAACGGCCACAUUGGAACUGAGACACGGUCCAAACUCCUACGGGAGGCAGCAGUGGGGAAUAUUGCACAAUGGGGGAAACCCUGAUGCAGCAACGCCGCGUGAACGAAGAAGGCCCUUGGGUCGUAAAGUUCUGUCCUAGGCGAUGAAAAAAAUGACAGUAGCCUUGGAGGAAGCCCCGGCUAACUCCGUGCCAGCAGCCGCGGUAAUACGGAGGGGGCAAGCGUUAUCCGGAAUUAUUGGGCGUAAAGGGUACGCAGGUGGUCCCUUAAGCGUAGGGUUUAAGGCAAUGGCUCAACCAUUGUUCGCCCUAUGAACUGAGGGACUUGAGUGCAGGAGAGGAAAGCGGAAUUCCUAGUGUAGCGGUGAAAUGCAUAGAUAUUAGGAGGAACACCAGCGGCGAAGGCGGCUUUCUGGACUGUAACUGACACUGAGGUACGAAAGCGUGGGGAGCAAACAGG
rnacentral:rRNA from 1 species